AACGAACGGUGGCGGCGUGGAUAAGACAUGCAAGUCGAACGGGAUUUCAUUUGUAGCAAUAUAGGUGAAAUUCAGUGGCGCAAGGGUGCGUAACACGUGGGCAAUCUGCCCAGGGACGCGGGAUAGCUCGCCGAAAGGCGAAUUAAUACCGCAUGUGGCUACUGAGGACAUCCUCGGGACGCUAAAGAUGGCGUAAGCUGUCAUUCCUGGAUGAGCCCGCGGCCUAUCAGCUAGUUGGUGAGGUAACUGCUCACCAAGGCUAUGACGGGUAGCUGGUCUGAGAGGACGACCAGCCACACUGGAACUGAGACACGGUCCAGACACCUACGGGUGGCAGCAGUCGAGAAUUUUUCUCAAUGGGCGCAAGCCUGAAGGAGCGACGCCGCGUGGAGGAUGAAGGUCUUCGGAUUGUAAACUCCUGUCAUUUGGGAACAAACCCUCCGGUUAACUGCCGGAAGGCUGAUAGUACCAGAAGAGGAAGGGACGGCUAACUCUGUGCCAGCAGCCGCCGUAACAC
rnacentral:rRNA from 1 species